AAGAGCUCGUAGGCGGUUUGUCGCGUCUGCCGUGAAAGUCCGGGGCUCAACUCCGGAUCUGCGGUGGGUACGGGCAGACUAGAGUGAUGUAGGGGAGACUGGAAUUCCUGGUGUAGCGGUGAAAUGCGCAGAUAUCAGGAGGAACACCGAUGGCGAAGGCAGGUCUCUGGGCAUUAACUGACGCUGAGGAGCGAAAGCAUGGGGAGCGAACAGGAUUAGAUACCCUGGUAGUCCAUGCCGUAAACGUUGGGCACUAGGUGUGGGGGACAUUCCACGUUUUCCGCGCCGUAGCUAACGCAUUAAGUGCCCCGCCUGGGGAGUACGGCCGCAAGGCUAAAACUCAAAGGAAUUGACGGGGGCCCGCACAAGCGGCGGAGCAUGCGGAUUAAUUCGAUGCAACGCGAAGAACCUUACCAAGGCUUGACAUGGGCCGGACCGGGCUGGAAACAGUCCUUCCCCUUUGGGGCCGGUUCACAGGUGGUGCAUGGUUGUCGUCAGCUCGUGUCGUGAGAUGUUGGGUUAAGUCCCGCAACGAGCGCAACCCUCGUUCCAUGUUGCCAGCGCGUAAUGGCGGGGACUCAUGGGAGACUGCCGGGGUCAACUCGGAGGAAGGUGGGGACGACGUCAAAUCAUCAUGCCCCUUAUGUCUUGGGCUUCACGCAUGCUACAAUGGCCGGUACAAAGGGUUGCGAUACUGUGAGGUGGAGCUAAUCCCAAAAAGCCGGUCUCAGUUCGGAUUGGGGUCUGCAACUCGACCCCAUGAAGUCGGAGUCGCUAGUAAUCGCAGAUCAGCAACGCUGCGGUGAAUACGUUCCCGGGCCUUGUACACACCGCCCGUCAAGUCACGAAAGUUGGUAACACCCGAAGCCGGUGGCCUAACCCCUUGUGGGA
rnacentral:rRNA from 1 species